AGCAGUUGCAGACAAACAAACAGCUCUGUGCCACCAGCCCUGAUCUGAAAGUCUUCCCUAACCAUCCUCACAAACUGAAGCUGGACCUGCCCUUGGACACAGCUAAAGGACAGCUGCUUCUCCUCUGAAGGUUAGCCAUACUCCUCCACUAGUGUUUGCUCUGGAAAGCAAUCAACCCUUUUGUUAGAGCAGCUGACAGUAGAUCCAGCGGUGGUCUCUUGGUUGCAUUUCCUUUCCAGGUUUAAGG